GACGAACGCUGGCGGCGUGCUUAACACAUGCAAGUCGAACGGAAAGGCCCUGCUUUUGUGGGGUGCUCGAGUGGCGAACGGGUGAGUAACACGUGAGUAACCUGCCCUUGACUUUGGGAUAACUUCAGGAAACUGGGGCUAAUACCGGAUAGGAGCUCCUGCUGCAUGGUGGGGGUUGGAAAGUUUCGGCGGUUGGGGAUGGACUCGCGGCUUAUCAGCUUGUUGGUGGGGUAGUGGCUUACCAAGGCUUUGACGGGUAGCCGGCCUGAGAGGGUGACCGGCCACAUUGGGACUGAGAUACGGCCCAGACUCCUACGGGAGGCAGCAGUGGGGAAUAUGACACAGUGGGAGGAAGCCUGAUGCAGCAACGCCGCGUGCGGGAUGACGGCCUGCGGGUUGUGAACCGCUUUCGCCUGUGACGAAGCGUGAGUGACGGUAAUGGGUGAAGAAGCACCGGCUAACUACGUG
rnacentral:rRNA from 1 species